GUGAACCUGCGGAAGGAUCAUUACUUUAUGUGAUGUUGAAAUUUGAAUUCGCAACAUAAAUAUAUUGUUGUGAAACGGCUGUCGCUGGUGUCUAGGUGUUGCUGAUACAGUUGUGAACGUCCGUGGCUGUAUAUGUGGUGACAUGUUAGGACUAAGACUUAAUGAGCCUCUUAAGUGAGGACGCCAGCACUCUUUUUUUCUCUAUAUUUUAUAAAAAAAACAAAAUUUCUAGCCUUAUCGGUGGAUCACUCGGCUCGUGGAUCGAUGAAGAACGCAGCAAACUGCGAUAAUUUGUGCGAACUGCAGAAACCUUGAGCACAAAAGUUUUGAACGCAUAUUGCCGCAUUGGGGUCAAACUCUUUGCUACGUCUGGUUCAGGGUCAUUUUCUUUUAAAGCGUGAGCUUUUAUUUCUAUAUUGCUUUGAUGCUUUAUAUUUUAAGAGGAUUGUUGUUUAUCCUAAUUGUAUGAAUCUAAAUACAAAACUCAAACAAUUUGACCUGAACUCAGUUGAGAGCACCCGCUGAACUUAAGCAUAUCAGUAAGCGGAGGAAAAGAAACUAACCAGG
rnacentral:rRNA from 1 species